rnacentral:rRNA from 1 species
GUCGAGAAUCUUUCACAAUGGGGGCAACCCUGAUCCAGCGACGCCGCGUGAGUGACGAAGGCCUUCGGGUCGUAAAGCUCUGUUGCAAGGGAAAAACAAAAUGAUGGUACCUUGCUAGAAAGGAUCGGCUAACUUCGUGCCAGCAGCCGCGGUAAGACGAGGGAUCCUAGCGUUGUUCGGAAUUAUUGGGCGUAAAGCGGGUGUAGGUGGCUUUGUAAGUCAGGUGUGAAAGCCUGGGGCUUAACCCCAGAAGUGCAUUUGAUACUGCGAAGCUUGAGUGCUGGAGAGGCUACUAGAAUUCUUGGUGUAGUGGUGAAAUACGUAGAUAUCAAGAGGAAUACCGGAGGCGAAGGCGGGUAGCUGGCCAGACACUGACACUCAGACCCGAAAGCGUGGGGAUCAAACAGGAUUAGAUACCCGAGUAGUCC